AUGAUCGACGGGCUGGAGCACAUGAUUAAAGCGGUUGCGGCAUUGCCUGACUUUGGAGCAAACAUGGCUCUUGAGAUUGCUUCCGCCAUUGCCGUGUAUGCGCCCACCAUGGCCACGACCAGCAGUGUGGACGGUCAAGAUUUGACCUACAUUAAAUGCACAUUAUUUGAUGUCAGACCAGAUCACAGAAAAAAACAGAAAAAGAAAGGCGGAAAGGUUUGUAACUACAUUACUUUGUGGUCCAAAUGUGUGCAGGAUUCGGUGGAUGUUCGCAAGAACCAUGAUGGAGUAGCCCGUUUCGAAACUUGGAGUAGCAAGCUCUGUUUGCCCUCAGAUCACGGAAAAAAUCAGAAAAAGAAAGGCGGAUAG
rnacentral:rRNA from 1 species